GCCCGCGGGGAGUCCGGGGCGGUUCCGCCGGCUGGGCCUGCGUCCGCGUUGGCCCGCGGGCUCGAGUGAGCCCGCUCAAACGCCCCAGGAGCCACCGCCGCCUCCUCAGCGCCCGUCCUCAGCGCCGAAAAGACUCUCCCUUCACGGCCCAACCGCCCGGCCGGUGGGGCCCGCCCCUCGUUUUGACACCACCCAAUCCGCUGCGGGUCUCUCCGACUGCUCCGCCCCCCGACUCCACAGGAUCAUUUCCAGGACCAAUAGGCACACGAGAAGCAGAUACAGGCACGUACAGCUGGCGAGAGACUGCUAGACUCACCAAUCGGACUGUGGGUAGUAUGUUCGGUUCCGCCUCCGAGACAAAGGAAAAUCCUUGGCAGCUUUUUCCUCCAAUAAGAAAACCGAAAAAGAAGUGACCAGGAGGUGUGGCUUCAUUGAGAGGGUACUUCUCAGCAGGUCGCUAUCUUUGAACCCUUUUCGUACCUCCACAUGAGACUUUCCUACACGCCCCAAAUCUCCUCAGAGUCAAAGGAUGGUAAAUAAAAGCAUUUUCUCUUCCAAA